ACCUGGUUGAUUCUGCCAGUAGUCAUAUGCUUGUCUCAAAGAUUAAGCCAUGCAUGUCUAAGUAUAAGCAAUUAUACCGCGAAACUGCGAAUGGCUCAUUAUAUAAGUUAUCGUUUAUUUGAUAGUACCUUACUACUUGGAUAACCGUGGUAAUUCUAGAGCUAAUACAUGCUAAAAAUCCCGACUUCGGAAGGGAUGUAUUUAUUAGAUUAAAAACCAAUGCCCUUCGGGGCUCACUGGUGAUUCAUGAUAACUCCUCGAAUCGCAUGGCCUUGUGCCGGCGAUGGUUCAUUCAAAUUUCUUCCCUAUCAACUUUCGAUGUUUGGGUAUUGGCCAAACAUGGUUGCAACGGGUAACGGAGGGUUAGGGCUCGACCCCGGAGAAGGAGCCUGAGAAACGGCUACUACAUCCAAGGAAGGCAGCAGGCGCGCAAAUUACCCAAUCCCGACACGGGGAGGUAGUGACAAUAAAUACUGAUACAGGGCUCUUUUGGGUCUUGUAAUUGGAAUGAGUACAAUUUAAAUCCCUUAACGAGGAACAAUUGGAGGGCAAGUCUGGUGCCAGCAGCCGCGGUAAUUCCAGCUCCAAUAGCGUAUAUUAAAGUUGUUGUGGUUAAAAAGCUCGUAGUUGAACCUUGGGCCUGGCUGGCCGGUCCGCCUCACCGCGUGUACUGGUCCGGCCGGGCCUUUCCCUCUGUGGAACCCCAUGCCCUUCACUGGGUGUGGCGGGGAAACAGGACUUUUACUGUGAAAAAAUUAGAGUGCUCCAGGCAGGCCUAUGCUCGAAUACAUUAGCAUGGAAUAAUAGAAUAGGACGUGUGGUUCUAUUUUGUUGGUUUCUAGGACCGCCGUAAUGAUUAAUAGGGACAGUCGGGGGCAUCAGUAUUCAAUUGUCAGAGGUGAAAUUCUUGGAUUUAUUG
rnacentral:rRNA from 1 species